CUCAAUUUGAUGCUUUAACUGAUCUCCAGCAGCUGACAGGUUGACAGGUUAUUUGUGCCAGCUGUAGAACUGAAAAGAGACUUAUCUAUCAGGUAUGACCUUUUAAGUGAAAAGCCCAGUUGUUCUAAAUGAGAAGAGUAAAAGUUGCAAUCUGUGCCCAUUGCUGGGGUCAUUCCUCUAGGGCUGCUUGCAGAGGGGUGAGAAUAACCACUAGUCCAAGGGCUGAGCCCAGAGGAGGCAAUGUGGGAUAAGGGCAUUCCGGAAAUGCUGGUAGGGGUUUCCCCAGCUCGGGUUGAGAAAGGGGAGCUGCUUAGCUGGUCUUGGAGAGAUGGGGAAGGCUUUCAGCUGCUUUGCAGAAGUUGCCCAUGUGGGUGGGCCUUGGCCAGCAGAGCUGGCCGUGGAUGUGGUCCCUGCCUGCUCACCUGCCCACCUGCCCGCCCCGCAUAGCACUUGUAGACCUGCCUGAAUGCACAUGAUAUAGCACUUGCCGAUCUGCGUGUGUCCAGAAGUGGCUGUGGGAAGAGCGCUGGACUGACUUUCCCCAUACAUGUCCAAGUGCCAUGUGAACUAUGCAAUUUAAAGGGUUGACCCACACUAGACGAAACUGGACUCGUACAACUCUUUUUAUAUUUUUUAUACUUGAAAUGAAAUCCUUUGCUUCUUUUUUAAGCGAAUGAUUGCUUUUAAUGUUUGCACUGAUUUAGUUGCAUGAUUAGUCAGAAACUGCCAUUUGAAAAAAGAAGUUAUUUUUAUAGCAGCAAAAAAAGAAUACAGUUAAAUGUAUUAUACAUAAUUUUGGAACCAAAGAGGCCAACAGAUCAGUUUUAAUUUUUAUUAGAUGGUGAGGCCAUCUUCUAUGAGGUGAACGUUCUGAACAAUCCUUUGAGUGGCCUGCCAAUGUUUCAGGGUAUAAGUGGAUUUUGUUUAUUCAGUUUGAUGUGUCUUUUCUAUUCUUACACACCCAGAAGGUAGAGUAAAAAUGACUAUGGUAGAAUGCAGGUGUGUAUCCUUAAAUCCUCAUUUUUAUGUUUAUUUAAUAAUGCUCCCCUUAGGUUCUGUUUCAUAAUAAUUUAAAACCAAACAAUUUCCCCAUAGACUGGCUGUUAAAGUAUUUUACGUUUGUGUACAGUUUAAGAAAAUAAAAGAUUGAGUGCCACAGGC
rnacentral:lncRNA from 1 species